rnacentral:rRNA from 1 species
GCGGCCGCUCUGUUUGUUCCUGCCAGAGGUUACUGCUAUUGAGGUUCGACUAAGCCAUGCGAGUCGAAUGUAGCAAUACAUGGCGUACUGCUCAGUAACACGUGGACAACCUACCCUUAGGUCGGGGAUAAACCCGGGAAACUGGGUAUAAUACCCGAUAGAUCCCGAGUGCUGGAAUGCAUCGAGAUCGAAAGCUCCGGCGCCUAAGGAUGGGUCUGCGGCCUAUCAGGUAGUAGUGGGUGUAGCGUACCUACUAGCCUACGACGGGUACGGGUUGUGAGAGCAAGAGCCCGGAGAUGGGUUGCUGAGACACGAAUCCAGGGCCUACGGGGUGCAGCAGGCGCGAAAACUUUACAAUGCUGGAAACAGCGAUAAGGGGACCUCGAGUGCCAGGUCACAAAUCUGGCUGUCGUGAUGCCUAAAAAGCAUUGCAUAGCAAGGGCCGGGCAAGACCGGUGCCAGCCGCCGCGGUAACACCGGCGGCUCGAGAGGUAACCGUUAUUAUUGGGUCUAGAGGGUCUGUAACCGGCCGGAUAAGUCUCUUGGGAAAUCCAGCAGCUCAACUGUUGGGCUUUCAGGAGAUACUGUCUGGCUCGAGGCCGGGAGGGGUGAGAGGUACUUCAGGGGUAGGGGUGAAAACUUGUAAUCCUUGAAGGACCACCAGUGGCGAAGGCGUCUCACCAGAACGGACCUGACGGCAAGGGACGAAAGCUAGGGGCACGAACCGGAUUAGAUACCCGGGUAGUCCUAGCCGUAAACGAUACUCGCUAGGUGUCGGCCACGCGUGCGACCGUUGACGGUGCCGUAGGGAAGCCGUGAAGCGAGCCACCCGGGAAGUACGGCCGCAAGGCUGAAACUUAAAGGAAUUGGCGGGGGAGCACCACAACGGGUGGAGCUUGCGGUUUAAUUGGAUUCAACGCCGGAAAUCUUACCGGGACCGACAGCAAUAUGAAGGCCAGGCUGAAGACUUUUGCCGGGAUUAGCUGAGAGGUGGUGCAUGGCCGUCGUCAGUUCGUACUGUGAAGCAUCCUGUUAAGUCAGGCAACGAGCGAGACCC